rnacentral:rRNA from 1 species
GACGAAGGGGGCUAGCGUUGUUCGGAAUCACUGGGCGUAAAGCGCACGUAGGCGGCUUUUUAAGUCAGGGGUGAAAUCCUGGAGCUCAACUCCAGAACUGCCUUUGAUACUGGGAAGCUCGAGUCCGGGAGAGGUGAGUGGAACUCCGAGUGUAGAGGUGAAAUUCGUAGAUAUUCGGAAGAACACCAGUGGCGAAGGCGGCUCACUGGCCCGGUACUGACGCUGAGGUGCGAAAGCGUGGGGAGCAAACAGG